CAGUAGCCGCGGGAACACCGAGGGUGCAAGCGUUAAUCGGAAUUACUGGGCGUAAAGCGCGCGUAGGUGGUUUGUUAAGUUGGAUGUGAAAUCCCCGGGCUCAACCUGGGAACUGCAUCCAAAACUGGCAAGCUAGAGUAUGGUAGAGGGUGGUGGAAUUUCCUGUGUAGCGGUGAAAUGCGUAGAUAUAGGAAGGAACACCAGUGGCGAAGGCGACCACCUGGACUGAUACUGACACUGAGGUGCGAAAGCGUGGGGAGCAAACAGGAUUAGAUACCCCUGUAGUCCCUGUCUCUUAUAC
rnacentral:rRNA from 1 species